AUUGAACGCUGGCGGCAGGCCUAACACAUGCAAGUCGAACGAGUGGCGGACGGGUGAGUAAUGUCUGGGAAACUGCCUGAUGGAGGGGGAUAACUACUGGAACCGGUAGCUAAUCCCGCAUACCAUCAGAUGUUGCCAGAUGGGAUUAGCUUGUUGGUGGGGUAACGGCUCACCAAGGCCACAAUCCCUAGCUGGUCUGAGAGGAUGACCAGCCACACUGGAACUGAGACACGGUCCAGACUCCUACGGGAGGCAGCAGUGGGGAAUAUUGCACAAUGGGCGAAAGCCUGAUGGAGCAAUGCCGCGUGUAUGAAGAAGGCCUUCGGGUUGUAAAGUACUUUCAGCGGGGAGGCGUUACCCGCAGAAGAAGCACCGGCUAACUCCGUGCCAGCAGCCGCGGUAAUUC
rnacentral:rRNA from 1 species